rnacentral:rRNA from 1 species
AACGAACGCUGGCGGCAUGCCUAACACAUGCAAGUCGAACGAUGCCUUCGGGCAUAGUGGCGCACGGGUGCGUAACGCGUGGGAAUCUGCCUUUCGGUUCGGAAUAACUCAGGGAAACUUGAGCUAAUACCGGAUAACGUCGCAAGGCCAAAGAUUUAUCACCGAAAGAUGAGCCCGCGUAGGAUUAGCUAGUUGGUGAGGUAAAGGCUCACCAAGGCGACGAUCCUUAGCUGGUCUGAGAGGAUGAUCAGCCACACUGGGACUGAGACACGGCCCAGACUCCUACGGGAGGCAGCAGUGGGGAAUAUUGGACAAUGGGCGAAAGCCUGAUCCAGCAAUGCCGCGUGAGUGAUGAAGGCCUUAGGGUUGUAAAGCUCUUUUACCCGGGAAGAUAAUGACGGUACCGGGAGAAUAAGCCCCGGCUAACUCCGUG